rnacentral:rRNA from 1 species
AUUGAACGCUGGCGGCAUGCUUUACACAUGCAAGUCGAACGGUAACAGGCCGCAAGGUGCUGACGAGUGGCGAACGGGUGAGUAAUGCAUCGGAACGUGCCCAGUCGUGGGGGAUAACGCAGCGAAAGCUGCGCUAAUACCGCAUACGAUCUCUGGAUGAAAGCGGGGGACCGAAAGGCCUCGCGCGAUUGGAGCGGCCGAUGUCAGAUUAGGUAGUUGGUGGGGUAAAGGCCCACCAAGCCAACGAUCUGUAGCUGGUCUGAGAGGACGACCAGACACACUGGGACUGAGACACGGCCCAGACUCCUACGGGAGGCAGCAGUGGGGAAUUUUGGACAAUGGGCGCAAGCCUGAUCCAGCAAUGCCGCGUGCAGGAAGAAGGCCUUCGGGUUGUAAACUGCUUUUGUACGGAACGAAACGGUCCGGGUUAAUACCCUGGGCUAAUGACGGUACUGUAAGAAUAAGCACCGGCUAACUACGUGCCAGCCGCCGCCGUAAGAC